rnacentral:lncRNA from 1 species
AGAAAACAGGAAGCCAGAAUGAUGCCUACUACAGAAAAUCAUAGUUUUCUAGUGAAACUGUGAAUUAAUCUGAACAGUCUAGGAUAGACGUCAAGCUGCAUAAAAUGGGAUGAUCCUCUUCUAGGGAAAUAUGAUGGUUGUGAACUCAGUGUGUUUUGUGUGAUAGGAUAAAAAACUUCUGUAAUCACAUUUGCCAAAAUCAGGCCAAAUAAUAAACCAUAAUACGCAUUAACAAUCAGUGUUACUACUUGCAGGGUGACCAAGGAUUUCCAGGUCCUCCGGGUCGAAGAGGUUCUCCAGGCCUUCCAGGAGUUGCUGGUAUCAAAGGAGAGAAGGGGUGCCCUGCAGAGGGAUAUAGCCAAGAAUAUGGUGCAAAAG